AAACAGGAUUAGAUACCUGGUAGUCCGCGCCUAAACGAUGUCAACUAGCUGUUGGGCCUUCGGGCCUUGGUAGCGCAGCUAACGCGUGAAGUUGACCGCCUGGGAAAUACAGUCGCAAGAUUAAAACUCAAAGGAAUUGACGGGGACCCGCACAAGCGGUGGAUGAUGUGGAUUAAUUCGAUGCAACGCGAAAAACCUUACCUACCCUUGACAUGUCUGAAUCCCGAAGAGAUUUGGGAGUGCUCACAAGAGAACCGGAACACAGGUGCUGCAUGGCUGUCGUCAGCUCGUGUCGUGAGAUGUUGGGUUAAGUCCCACAACAGGUGCAACCCUUGUCAUUAGUUGCUACGAAAGGGCACUCUAAUGAGACUGCCGGUGACAAACCGGAGAGAGAGAUUGGGGAUGACGUCAAGUCCUCAUGGCCCUUAUAGGUAGGGCUUCACACGUCAUACAAUGGUCGGGACAGAGGGUCGCCAACCCGCGGGGGCAAUCCCAGAAACCCGAUCGUAGUCCGGAUCGCAGUCUGCAACUCGACUGCGUGAAGUCGGAAAUCGCUAGUAAUCGCGGAUCAGCAUGUCGCGGUGAAUACGUUCCCGGGUCUUGUACACACCGCCCGUCACACCAUGGGAGUGGGUUUACCAGAAGUAGUUAGCCUAACCGUAAGGAGGGCGAUUACCACGGUAGGAUUCAUGACUGGGGUGAAGUCGUAACAAGGUAG
rnacentral:misc_RNA from 1 species